CUUUAAUGACACACAAUAUACUCUGUUACCAACCAACACACACCACCAAUUACAGCCCUGAUAACUUUGCAAAGCUGGGCUCAGUGGCAGCUAAGUACGAUUUGAUUGUGUUUCUGACUACUGGGAGAGCGACCAAGCCUGGCCGAUGCAGCAGGAGCUCACAGCACCACUUAAUAAUGAUGAAUAAAAUAGUUACAUACAAGAGAGGAGACGCCAAAAAAUAUAAGAGACGAAAUAGAAUAGUGAUGAACUAAGAUAUUCCCACCAGAAGUACAGUACAUAAUUUAAAAAAUUUGAAAUAAAAUGUAAAAAAAAAAAAAAAAAGUUACAGAAAUCAAAGAGACUAACAUAUUUAAAGAUAAAAAAAAAAAAUACAAACCCAAAAGAAGGUGCUGGAGCAGGGACUUCCGAGUUAGCAGCACCAAAUGCGAACAAUCCACUUGAUGGAGUACUAUUAGCUUGACUCUGCAACAGAAAUUCCCAAAUGACAAACAUAAUAGUAAUGCAAUAAAGCAAAACAUACACGAGUACUCAUAAGAAGGUACAUAUACCAGCUAUGGAACUUAUCUCAACUAUGUGUGAUAAAAGUACACACCACUGCACACUACCUAGAGAUACCUGGAGAGGGUUCUGGAGUUGGUCUACAUCCCCCAAGUGCAGCCUGGGGCCAGGCUCGACUUGUGAUAACUUGGUGGACAGACUGUUCCGUGACUUCCACUCACAAAACACGAUCAUUUUAACUAGUCUUUUGUUCACAGUAUAUUAAACAUCACAUUUGGGA